GAUGAACGCUGGCGGCGUGCCUAACACAUGCAAGUCGAGCGAUUCUCUUCGGAGAAGAGCGGCGGACGGGUGAGUAACGCGUGGGUAACCUGCCCUGUACACACGGAUAACAUACCGAAAGGUAUGCUAAUACGAGAUAAUAUACUUUUAUCGCAUGGUAGAAGUAUCAAAGCUUUUGCGGUACAGGAUGGACCCGCGUCUGAUUAGCUAGUUGGUAAGGUAACGGCUUACCAAGGCGACGAUCAGUAGCCGACCUGAGAGGGUGAUCGGCCACAUUGGAACUGAGACACGGUCCAAACUCCUACGGGAGGCAGCAGUGGGGAAUAUUGCACAAUGGGCGAAAGCCUGAUGCAGCAACGCCGCGUGAGCGAUGAAGGCCUUCGGGUCGUAAAGCUCUGUCCUCAAGGAAGAUAAUGACGGUACUUGAGGAGGAAGCCCCGGCUAACUACGUG
rnacentral:rRNA from 1 species